UACGGAGGGUGCGAGCGUUUGUCCGGAAUCACUGGGCGUAAAGAGCGUGUAGGCGCCAGACAGGUCCGUUGUGAAAACUGGAGGCUCAACCUCCAGACGUCGAUGGAAACCGUCUGGCUAGAGUCCGGAAGAGGAGAGUGGAAUUCCUGGUGUAGCGGUGAAAUGCGCAGAUAUCAGGAAGAACACCCGUGGCGAAAGCGGCUCUCUGGGACGGUACUGACGCUGAGACGCGAAAGCGUGGGGAGCGAACAGG
rnacentral:rRNA from 1 species